UGCAGUCGAGCGGUAAGGCCCUUCGGGGUACACGAGCGGCGAACGGGUGAGUAACACGUGGGUGAUCUGCCUCGCACUUCGGGAUAAGCCUGGGAAACUGGGUCUAAUACCGGAUAUGACCUGGAACUGCAUGGUUUCGGGUGGAAAGAUUUAUCGGUGCGAGAUGGGCCCGCGGCCUAUCAGCUUGUUGGUGGGGUAAUGGCCUACCAAGGCGACGACGGGUAGCCGGCCUGAGAGGGCGACCGGCCACACUGGGACUGAGACACGGCCCAGACUCCUACGGGAGGCAGCAGUGGGGAAUAUUGCACAAUGGGCGAAAGCCUGAUGCAGCGACGCCGCGUGAGGGAUGACGGCCUUCGGGUUGUAAACCUCUUUCGACAGGGACGAAGCGCAAGUGACGGUACCUGUAGAAGAAGCACCGGCCAACUACGUGCCAGCAGCCGCGGUAAUACGUAGGGUGCGAGCGUUGUCCGGAAUUACUGGGCGUAAAGAGCUUGUAGGCGGUCUGUCACGUCUUCUGUGAAAACUCACAGCUCAACUGUGAGCUUGCAGGCGAUACGGGCAGACUAGAGUACUUCAGGGGAGACUGGAAUUCCUGGUGUAGCGGUGAAAUGCGCAGAUAUCAGGAGGAACACCGGUGGCGAAGGCGGGUCUCUGGGAAGUAACUGACGCUGAGAAGCGAAAGCGUGGGUAGCGAACAGGAUUAGA
rnacentral:rRNA from 1 species